rnacentral:rRNA from 1 species
AUGCAGAAUCACAGACCCAAACGAAGAUCAAACCCUAGGAACCGCCCAUCGCCAGAGAGUCGCAGGAGCCCUAGGAGAGAGAACACGCAACGGUCGCACUUGCCAGAUGGCUGGUUUGUGUACAACCGGGAUUCGGGGGGCCUAAGAAAGUGCAUGCGGGAAAUAACGGCGCAAGCGCCCGGCGACAGGAGAGGCAUCGAUGCCAACGGAAAUCCUGGGAUCGACCAGGAAUCGAGCGAAACUGCGGGGAAAGAGACCCUGGCGCAUGGGCUAAGAGCCCGCGUUGUAGAUGCCCUCAUUCGCCAAUCUUUCUCCCCUCGCCGACGCCGCCUCCAGUCAGAUCCGGACGGAUGUGCUGCUGGGUGGCCGGUUUCUAGGAUAUGUAUCUGUGGUGAUGUGGGUGUUGCAACCUCAUCAAGCGAUGGAACCGUGAGAUUCUGGACGCAGCACCCGGAAAAGAAGUGCGAAUAUGUCCUCUCGAAAACCCUUGCAGGACAUUUUAGUUUUGUUGGUGCAAUGGUUUGGGCCCCUCCUUCUGAUCGCUUUCCGGAAGGAGCAAUUGUUUCUGGUGGCAUGGAUACACUAGUAUUGCUGUGGAAUUUGCAUACAGGAGAAGUUGUUGGAACAAUGAAGGGUCACACCUCACAGGUUCAAGUGAUUCCACCAUCAAACUUUGGAAAGGAAGGAUUUGUCUACAUACAUUCUCUGGGCAUGCAGAUGCCAGGAAUGGGUAUACUCUCUGCAUCACAUGAUGGAACUAUAAAGUUAUGGGCAUUAACUGGCCAACCCCUGUUGGAGAUGAUUGGCCAUACCUCUCUUGUAUAUUCUGUGGAUGCUCAUUCAUCUGGUCUUAUUGCUAGUGGCAGUCGAGAUCGCUCGGUCAAGAUAUGGAAAGAUGGAAUCUGUGUUCAGAGCAUUGAACACCCAGGCCGUAUAUGGGAUGCUAAAUUUUUGGAUAAUGGCGAUGUUGUAACUGCAUGUUGUGAUGGAAUUGUGAGGAUAUGGACAACUGGCAAUAAUAGGCCCUGCCGUGAUGAGGAACUUGCAGCAUAUAGAAAGACUGUUGGUGGACUGAAGCUGAUGGAUCCAUCAGGAGCUGCGGGAAUGACACAACAAGGUCAUAAAUCUCAUUUUUCUGAUGCGGUACACGUGUAUUGUGUUGAUUCCAUGAUGCUCCAACUAUUUGUAGUGAAUUUUGCAGGAAUCGUUGCACAAACGCUAAUUGUUAGAGAGGGACACACCGGUGUUGCUUAUUCAUGGAAUUCAAAAGAGCUAAAAUGGGACAAAGGCUAUCCUCCAACCACUGUGAGUAAAAAUCAGUACCCUACCUCUUGGAGGGCCGCGCAGCCCUGCGACAGCAUCCCAGAGGAUAUCAUCAUCUGGGAGAUAAUCCCCCGCCUGCCAGCGAAGGCCUUUGCCCGCUGCCGCGCCAUCUGCCGCUUGUGGCGCCAUGUCCUCACCUCCAACAGUGACCUCCUCCUCAAGCACCACUGCGCCCAGCCCUCCCACCCCAUUGCCUCUUGCAUGGAGCGCUCCGACCGCAUGCUCUACGAUCUCUGCGCCUUCGACCCGUGGGCCAGCGUGCUCUCACCCUUUUUUGCUCAGCUCUGGGACCCCUGCCUCAUGAGGUGCAUCGGCCGGCCAGCGGCGUCGGCGUCCGAAGAUGACGCACUGGCGGAGGGCAGUGUCAAUACAACAUCCUACCGCCCGUCGGUCCUGUUCCAGGAAGACCUGCACUUCUACCCUGUGAAGAAACAUGGCAGCAACAUGCUGAUGGUAUUCAAUACCACUGCCGAGUCAUUCCGUUGGAUGUCUGCUCCGGCUACCCCUGAGUCGGCCACUUUGUUUGAGAUGGAUGGCAAGCUCGUCCUCUACUACAUCGAUGAGGACAUCACCAUGAUUGAUAUUUGUGUGCUACAGGACUAUGAUAAUGAGGUCUGGGAGUUCAAGUACAAGAUCAAGCUUCCAGUGGCAGACCUUCGUCUGUCAGCUCGAUCACGUGGUUAUAUAUCGCCGGUCUUGUAUGAGAAGGGUGGUGUGCUCAUCUCAAUGCAUAGCCGUCUUGUUCAAGUUGACACUCUGGGAAGUGUGAGGUCAGAUAUUAUAUGGAGUGGCUCGAAUCUGUCGAUUACGCCGUAUAAGCUCAAACAAAGCCUGGUUCGUCACACAUUCUUUCCGAGUCAACCUGGUGGCGCUUCCUCAGGGGGACCUUUCAUCUGA